CCUUUGCCUGACCUGCCACUGGGAACUUUUCUCUGGUGUGGACUCUCCCAAAUCCUGCCUCCUGGCCUCUCUGGGUCCUCACUCUCUCCAUUAACCCCCUACCCCCAUUGCCUUUGGAAGUGCAAAAUGUUUUCUACUUUAUAUGCAGGGCAGUUAUUUCCACUUCUGAUUGAUCCUGAUCUAAUAGGCCAAAUUAUGCUACCAAGUUAAUUGCUGAAGGAAAUAAAAACAAAACGACAAGCAAAAACGUGGCUUAUUUCCUUUAAGAAUUUGGCUGCCAGUAUUUACAUAAUUAUUUUUCUCCCAAAUACUCUAGGAACAGACUUUCUUGACAUGGUUUUAAAACCCUCAGAAAUCCAUCCCUGCCUCCCUAGGUGAGUGUGGAGACUCUUCCUCUGGUCUCCUAUAAAAUCUUGUGCAUAUCAUACAUAUACCUACAUAUACAUAUAGUCAAAAAUCAACAAAGCCAGACGUUAAAAUGCUAAAAUAGAUUUUAUUCAGCAACUGUUGAUAGCUGAGAAAGAGCUGAGCUCCCUUCCAAUUUGUGCAGUGGUGACUGGGCAUUUCAAAGUGGAAUGAGGGAAUCGGGAGAGGGGUGGUCAGGGAUGUGAAAAAUUACAACAGGUUGGUCAGUUAAAUGCAUCAAGUCAGCUGUGUUUGCUGGCUGGUAAUUGAGGCUGACAAAUGAGGAUUCUGUCCUCCCACAGAAACUGGGGGACAGAGGCCCUAUUCUUCCUGAUGAUUACAUUCCAGAGAAAUCGCUUUCAGGUCCUUGAGAAAGAUGCCACUGCCACAUAUUGUCAAUUGUAAGCCCUUUGUAGUAAACUGUUAAGCAAGGCAUCUCAUGUAUACAGUCUACUCAGCCACAUAAGAAAGGUCCCUGGGCCUGGAACAGUCCUUACCGGGAGAUAAGGGGCCCACACAGUCUGCCCUGGGCUUGUCACCUUGUGUGGGAAUAUCUUUCCCUGUUUCAGGUGUAAUGUGCUCCUUCUGCAUCAGCAUGUGUCAGCCAUCCUCAGGCAUACCUUCAGCCUUCAGUAUUUCCAGCUCCAGGGGAAGAGUGGAGGCCCUUCCACCGCAGCAAAAGAUAGUUUCCAAGUGGAAUCCAAGCACAUCCUACCUAGGUGCUCUGCUUGUGGUCUCCUAGGGCUACAAUCCAGAACUACAAGACCGUUUCUCUCACCCCGAGCCCACCAGGAUGACCUGACCUGCAGUGCCCCAAACUUGUCUGCGUGGCAACAGUGUUUGAUGCCACCGUCCAUCAGAGCAGUGCCUUCUCCAGGGACUAAUUCACCAGAGGCUGCAAGAUCGUCCAUAGGAUGUGCCUCACUGGAGUCAAAGAAGUUGCUAAAAAUUGAAGACAGAACCUCCCGGGUCCUUUGAGUGAUCAACCAGCCUUGGGUGACCUGGCCCGUGCCUAGCUCUCCAGCCUCAGCCCUCUCUGACACCCUCCAGCUUGACAUCUCGUGCUUGGGGCCCUGCCCGCAGCCCUGCAGCAGGAAACGUAAGCAGAGGCAAGUGGCAAACAGGACAGAAUCUGUAGCAUAUAUAAAAGUCCGACAGUUUUCAUGUAUAUGACAUAUAUAAACAGUUACUAUGGAUCAGUAAGCAAAUCAUGAGCUGUCCACAAAGAAAAAUCUAUAUAUAAACAGCCAUCCGAAAACAGAAAAAUACAUGUAGGGAGAAUAAACAUAAGGGAUAAAAGCCCAACCAUCAUAGUAACAAAAGAAAUACAAAUUAAAAGGGCGAUGAAUAUUUUCUGCCUUUGUAGGUGAAGUAAGGGGUGAAUUAAGACCUCUCCUAUGCGGCUGAUGAAGUGCAGAUUAGCAAAGAUUCCUCAUGGGAAACUUUACUGCGUGAAAAAAGUCUUUUAAAAUCUGUAAAACAGUGACUAAGCAAUUCCACUGGUACAAAUUUAUCCUGAGGAAAUAAUUAGUAGAUUGAGAAUUUUUUUCACUUUGGGGAUGUAUAACACAGUGUGGUUUCUAAUGGAGAAUACAUAGAAAUAAUCCAAAGUGCCAACAAUUGGGUACUUUUAAAGUAAAUUCCAUACAAUACACUACACGCAUCUAUUUAAAAGGGAAGUAUGGAAGUAUAACUGUUGACAUGAGACGGAUGUUUGUUCGUAAAUUUUUAAGAGAAAAAAGUUUAUAAAAAUAUGACACUAUUUUUUAUUUCAAAAAAGGUAUAUGUAUGAAAUGACAGGGAGAGUAUACACCAAACCAUAAACACUGGUUAUACCUAGAAUAGACUUGCUGGUGAAGAAAUUUGGGGGAAGCCUUUCUACAUUUUUCCAUCUUUGAACAAUAAUACUGAUUUAUUGGUAUAAUAAAAAGUGGUUUAAAAAUAACUCAAAUAAAAUUGCCGAACUUAGAGUUAUUUAUUAUUGAAGGAAUAGACUUGAGCAACUUAAUUUUUAAAAUAAAGCCAGCCAUUUACUUCAAUCCAGAAGACAUUUAUCCAUCUAAGAGCCAGGCGUGGUUGUGUGUUGGUGUAGGGAACACUUGUAAUUCACACAGUCGCUUAAAUAAACCUUGUUAAAUUACAAAUUAUGAAAAUUUGUUUGAUUUAUGAGUCUUGACUAUCAUGCCCAAGCUGUUUUAGUGUUGAUGAAGCUAGGUGAUAAAAAGAAAAUGCAUUUAAAACUUAAAUGACACAGUUACAUGGGUAUACACAUGUCAACGCUAAUUGAACUACACAUUUAAGAUUGGCCCAUUUUGCAUUAGGCAAUCAUACUUCAAAAAUGUGAAGGCAGAAAAACAAAAACAUACAUAAAAAUUACAUAAAAUAUUUCACAUUUUUCAUCUUGAGCUUUUAAUGGGUCUGUAAUGUUGAAUCAAUUAGAAGCCAGAACACAAGAGUACUUCCACUUUUGACUGAUGGAUGGAGUAGUUGGUGUCAAACAAGUCUCCCACUGAAAGCAACUACGGAAGCUGGAUAAAAUAACAACUAUUAGAAGUCAUCAGGGAAAAAACAAGGACGCCAUGCUUCCUUAUCAAGGCCUAAUUCUCACACUAUGAAAAUCCUAUAGAGAAGGGAAUGCAUUGACAUGAGCUGGACAUUCUGUGCUCUUGAGGUAUUUUCUGUCCCAUAGGUUGUGUUUGCGUGGAGCUCAAUACUGAGAAACAAAGAAGAAAGAAAUUUUUGAGAAGGUAAAAUCUAAGCAGAAACUUUGAUUUCUGGAAAUGCUAGAGAGAAAAAAGAAAAAAAAAAUGAGUUGAGAACACACAAAGAAGAAGGGGCCCCGAUAAAACUCUAAGUUUUUGUUGAAAUUCUUAAAAGACACAACUUGUAAGUAGGGGAAACCAGAAAUAGAUCUGAUGCCACUGAACACAGAUGAUGUGCCAAUACUUUGUCUGCCUUCCAGAGGUAAGCAACAUCUUUCAGAAGAAAAUAACAUCAUCUGGAGCUUCUGCUAUUUUUCAUACAUUUUGAUAUUCAAUAAAAAAUUGAUAUGAAUAAUAGGAAAUAGAAAGAAAUCAUUGAAGAUUAAAAGACAAAAGUCCCAGAAGAUAGACUGUCACCCAGAAUCACA